AUGGCGGACGCUAGGCUCUGACGCACUCAAUGCUCCUCACUUUCCAGCGAAAUCUAGGCCUGAAAUAAGGAAUAGGGCUAUAUCGUACGUACUAAAACGUAGGGGAAGGCUUCAGGUUUACUUUGAGUCCUUCUAGAGGAAUUCUACUUAAGUUUUCUGGAGGUACCGACUCGUUUGUAACGCCGGACCCAUCAUGAUACUUCAUGGACGGUCACAGCAUGGAAAUGACCUGUACAUGGCUCCGGGCGAUCGCCAAGUCGCCGGAUAGAUAGCCCCAAAGAGAAGCAUGAACAGAAGUGGUUAUGGUACAGAUAGCCCUGAGAUUAGAAGAGGAAGAUCGUAUACUGCGAGAUGAAAAUACAACGUGCGCGAUAUGCUUGGACACAAGUACUGGUAUUUACUACACAUUGCCUUGCAAGCAUAUGUACCAUAGGCAGUGUAUUACAGAUUGGCUGAAGGUGUCCCCCUCUUGCCCCUUCUGUCGAGCACCUACGCCCCAGCUGGUAGGUCAAGGUAAACAAAAACUUUUUCUCAAACUACGUUGCACAUUACUACAUUAUAUACUGUACUUGUGAA